rnacentral:tmRNA from 1 species
GGGGGCGAUAGGAUUCGACGGGAAUAGGUUGAGCUUGGAUUGCAAGUCAAGUGCCAGAACUUGUAAAAAAAUGGAAUAAACAUAAAUGCUAAUAAAUCAGAGUUAGCUCGUUUAGCAGCCUAAUAAACUAAGCUGCUACGUCUACAAGAAGUUGCCUGCACUUUUUGAUAGGCGCCGAUUGCAGGAUACCUUAUAACAGUUAGCCUGGGGCUGUUUGAAGGGAAAAUUUUACAGGAUAGUUUUUUGGGAUAGCGUCCAUAUGAUUCCAAGAAGCGAAAAUUAGAUGUGGACUAAGCUUGUAGAUAUCUGAGUGCCAAUAUUUUCGGACGCGGGUUCGAUUCCCGCCGCCUCCACCA